GUCUCCUACUCUCACACCGCAUUUUGCUGUCCUGCUGAAAGCUUUCCUUUCUGGUGCUUUUGGGGAGAGUCAGCUGUGCCUGAGAGGGAACUCUUCUCUCGGCCCUGCUGCCCCACUCCCAGGCUUCCGCAAAUGCCUCCUGCUUCUUUGAAGGGCUGGUGGGCAAAUGCUCCUUGGUUGCAACUCCUGGGAAGUCUGUGCACCCCACCCAGUUAAAUGCAGCUUUUCAAAGUUUUGUGGAAUGUCCAGUUGGUUUCUCCUUAGCUCAUCUGUGAGGAGCCCGGCAGCAUCACCGGAUGAAGUUCAGAAAACUGAUCAUUGACACCUGACAAGAACUGUGAGGGUUUUAAGAUUUUACCUAAGUUCAAGCUAACCCGUUAUCCAGCAACAGCGCAUGGAUGCUGGCAGAAGACAUGAGACACCUGGCUUGGAGACAAAGGACUAAAGGACUUUGUUACUCAGAAACAAGUAGGACACAGAACACUCACAAUUUCCUUUAUGAUUUCUUGAGCCUGAUAUCCCAUGAAGCACCAAGAGGGCCAGAUGAUUGACAGCUGUAUACCCGCUGAAAACUCUCAGUCCAGGAGAAGAAGGACUUGUGUUAUUUGGCUUUCCCAGGAAACUCCUACAUUCCUACUCAAGAUUAAAUCUAAAAACAGGUUUGUAGAAUAUUCACUCCAGCUCUAAGAGAUGGCAGAAGGCGCCAGGAGUCCAUUGCCAGGAAUGCACUUUCCUCAGUCUCGCAGAUGGAACUUGCAGACGGCAAAGCUAAGCAAAGGGCAGUGCAAGAGGUAAGGCAGUUCAAAGACGAAGGGGAAAGAUGCAUUUGUUUUCCAGUUUUUCUGAAAGCAACUGAGACAAGGAAGGAAAUGCUGCCCAAAAGUGAGCCCAGCUAGAAGACAAACGGCGACAUUUAAAGACGGAACGCAGGUGUGGUCCCAUGGCUGCCAUCCUGCUCUCCCUCCUGGGGAGACAGUUGUACAAUAGUCCAUCUCAGAGAGGGCACCGGACCAGUGACAGUGAUAAGAGCCUUCAAGAAGGGCUCUGGCACAUGGAAGCUCAGUUCAUCUGACUUUCAUUAGGGACCACAGGCUUGUGUGGCACAAACAGGUGCCAUUAGUUAGGUACAACCAGAUGCUUUUGAUGGUGCUUGAGAUGAACCACGAGCAUCUACAGAGACAAGUUGGUAACUUCUGACAAAAACUCCACCCAUAGCCAAGGAUGAUGCUAUUCCCAUGCAGGUCCCCAAUGCACAGGACACUGUAAAUAGCAACCAGGGUUCACCCUGUGCUCAACCAAACUUUAAUCAGACAAAAGCAUCAGUGUGAACAGCAGCUGAGGAGACAUGAGGAUUUUUGCGUCUAUGUGGUAACAGGUAUUGUGGAAUUAUAUGGAAAGCAAUGUAUUUAUCCAUAAUCCAACAUGGAGCAAAUUAAAAUACUGCCAAUAAACCCACUAAAACCAACAUUAUGUAAAAUGAAAACAGGGAGAAUUUCAAAGAAAUAAUGUCACAUAACUUCCAGUGUCCUUUAUUCAUUUAACACUACUGGUGUGUUGUUUGCUUUUUAAAAAAAGAAUCCAAUGCUUACUCUGCCUGUACUUUCACCACAUGCUGUGGACCCAAAGGUCAGAGACAAGACAGAAACACUACCCUAUUGAGACGACAUUCAUCUCCCCAUUCAUUCUUUUUUUUUUUUUAAAUCCUGUACUCUAAAUUUACAUGUUGGUAGAAGAAUAUUCAUUUUUGACACAUAAUCCUAUCAGUCAGCAACAAUGGAUGAUGAACAAGGAAAAUAACAGCAGAAAAGAACGCCGAUACAAAUGUAAGUUAUUUAUAUUGAUUCAAAUAUAAUUUUUCAAAGUUUUUUAAUUUUUGUCUUUUUGAGAUAGUGUCUCCCUCUGUCACCCAAGCUGGA